UACGUAGGGUGCAAGCGUUAUCCGGAAUUAUUGGGCGUAAAGAGCUCGUAGGCGGUCUGUCGCGUCUGCUGUGAAAACUCGGGGCUUAACCCCGGGCCUGCAGUGGGUACGGGCAGACUAGAGUGCGGUAGGGGAGACUGGAAUUCCUGGUGUAGCGGUGAAAUGCGCAGAUAUCAGGAGGAACACCGGUGGCGAAGGCGGGUCUCUGGGCCGUAACUGACGCUGAGGAGCGAAAGCAUGGGGAGCGAACAGG
rnacentral:rRNA from 1 species